CGACAUAAAUCAGUAUUAGUAGAAACAUUAAAGAUGUGAUGUGAAAGAAAUAGUAUAUUAGGAUUCACAGAGUAUUGAUUUGAAAGAUUGAGUUUAGUAAUUGAUCUCGCCAUGAUCUUUGUUAAAUUGUUAUUUAACAAUUAUUUGUGACAACAAUUUCGACAAUAAAGCCUAUAUUAAAAAAAAAAUCAAUUAAACUAUGGGAUAAACAAGAAUUUAAUGAUGAAUUUAAAAUCUUUAAGCAUAAUCUGAUACUUGCAACUGAGAAUGAAUGGAUAAGGACUUACAAAAUAUGCAAACUCAAGUACUGCGAGUAAAAAAGUUGCAUUGUAGUUGUCCUCAAACACAUGAUCAAAAAAAACCUUAGGAUUUUUUCUCUCACGUUUAAAAGAUUUAAUAAAUAAUCGCAGCCAAAAAACCCAAUUUUUUUAAUGAAGCGCAAACUAUAUUCGAAAGCUCAUAUGAUGUUUUAGAAAUCGAACAAAAUAACUGAACCACAAAUAAUCAACACACCUUUAAAUUUACUCUAACUCUGUUCUUUUUCCCCUACACCUUGAGUCGUAUCCGCUUUGGCCUUACGAGCCUCUUCCUUUUCCCGUCUCGCAGCCUUCUUUUUUUCCUUUUUUAGACGCUUUUUGGUUUCUUUAUCCAAAUGCAAAUCAUCGUUCUCUUCCCUUGCAUGUUUCAGACUUUCCUCUUCCUUGGUUUCCAACAUUUCUUCAGGUGGUAUUAUUAAUUCCUCUGUGGGAGGGCCUUGGACAGGUAAAUUUAAAGAAAUAAGCGGUAUCUCUUCUCCUUUCAGGUACAUCAAGACUCUAUUUAACUGGGAUAGAACACUCUCACUUCCAGAUUUUUCAUCUUGGAAGCGCUCAAUCGUUUGGAUGUAGCGAUUGAGAAAUUUACUAGACGCGUCUUUGUCUAGCUUUUCAGACUUUCGCAAAAUCAUUUUAGGUGGACAUUCUGUCGCCAUGUUUAAAACGAAAAUUCUCCUGAAUAAUGCAAAGUUCUCAC